rnacentral:rRNA from 1 species
GGGGGAGUAUGGUCGCAAGGCCGAAACUUAAAGGAAUUGACGGAAGGGGCACCACCAGGAGUGGAAUCUGCGGCUUAAUUUGACCCAACGCGGGAAAACUCACCAGGUCAGGACACGGUAAGGAUUGACGGACUGAAGGAUCUUUCUCGAUUCCGUGGAAAGUGGUGCAUGGCCGUUUUUGGUUGGUGGAUCGAUCCGUCUGGUUAAUUCCGUUAACGAACGAGACCUCGGCACUCCGAAUAGCGCGGCGGACGUCGCGGCCUCCGGGCCGUCUUCCGCGCGAGCUUCUUAGAGGGACCGUCCCCCGCCGGGGAAGGAGGUUCGAGGCAACGACAGGUCUGUGAUGCCCUUAGAUGUUCUGGGCCGCACGCGCAUUACACUGACGCGUCCAACGGGCGACUCCCGGCCCGAAGGGGUCGGGGAAUCCGCAAGGCGCGUCGUGAUGGGGAUUGAACGUUGCAAUUGUUGUUCACGAACGAGGAAUUCCUAGUAGGCGCGGGUCAUCAACCCGCGCCGAUUACGUCCCUGCCCUUUGUACACACCG